ensembl:lncRNA
GUUGCAUCUGGGGGGAGUCAGAUUUAGGUUCACUAAGCGACAGUGGCCCCUCCUCGGCAGAUAUGGAGGGGAGCAGCAACAGCCCCCUGCCCAAAACCACCAGCACCUACAGCUUCCCAGACACCAACUCCACCACCACGUCCUAUGAGAGCGCUGAGGAGACCCAGGACGACCUGGAGAACCCGGUGCUGACCUCCCAGCUGACUCAGAGCCAGAGCUUUGAUGGGGCAGGUAGCGCCAUUGAGGGGUUCAGGUUGGGACCGGACUCAGGUUCAUCCAGAAGUGUGAGUAACAUAGAACAUAAUGUGGAGAGGGAGCAGGACAUGGGGAGAGUCUUCCGGUCUCUGAGCAGGAGGAAGAGUAGCUAUUCUGUCUCUCUGUUGAAGAGUUACAGUUCCAAAAUAUCUCUUUCCAGAAGGACGUCCUCCACUAGCUCCACUAUCAAGCCCUGUCCUCCCAUCCACCCUACCUACGUGAAGAUCACCACCAGGCAGCUGACCCAUAGGCUCACCAAGCCAGAGCCCUCGUAGGGCAGGAUUUGGGGGCCACAAGCCCCAGGGAUGGAGAACCCCCAGGCAGAGGUCCUGCAGUAUCGCCGGGCCUUUCAGUCAUUCUGCAGACUGGACCAAGGAUAUGGAAGGCCUCAGAUUGAGGCAUGAGGCCGCCACUGACCUCCAGGAGCGUGGGGGUUCAGAGAGAGGCUUUCCAGGGGCGAGUCUGACCCCAUGCACCAGACAAUGCCUCUCAGGUGUCCAGACCACUACCACAGGACCCUAUCAAGAUGUCUUCUCUGGUCUCGCCCUGUUGGAGCGUCUAUGUCUGCAGGAGGGGGAGCGAACGGUGAGGCGGAGAGAUUGUGUUGUCGUAUGAUGGGCCUGGGGCUGCUGCAGCCCCUUAGUGGCUUUUUCAGAGAGCAGCAUGAAGACAUUGUCAGUCCAGUCACAGCCACCUUUAAUGUGAAAACCAACUCUUUACUUCAGCAAAUUGUUUCACUGCUGCCAUUUCAACAAAUAUCACAUUGAUCAUUGUUAGUAUUGUUCACUGAAUGAGAGUACA